GUGCAAAUUCAAUCACCACCUCUGCAUGGUAUGACAGAAGUGAAAGGAAAUGGGAUUGCUAAAGAAAUUUUGGUGAUAGAAAUGUAUUAUCUUCAGAAGAUACUGAGGUUGUCCAUUCUAUCCUAGUACUGUG
ensembl:snoRNA SNORA66 Small nucleolar RNA SNORA66